UACAGAGGGUGCGAGCGUUAAUCGGAAUUACUGGGCGUAAAGCGUGCGUAGGUGGUUCGUUGUGUCUGUGGUGAAAGCCCCGGGCUUAACCUGGGAAUGGCCAUGGAAACUGGCGAGCUGGAGUGUGGCAGAGGGGGGUGGAAUUCCGCGUGUAGCAGUGAAAUGCGUAGAGAUGCGGAGGAACACCGAUAGCGAAGGCAGCCCCCUGGGCUAACACUGACGCUGAGGCACGAAAGCGUGGGGAGCAAACAGG
rnacentral:rRNA from 1 species